rnacentral:rRNA from 1 species
UAAGGAAUAUUGGUCAAUGGACGCAAGUCUGAACCAGCCAUGCCGCGUGGAGGAUGAAGGUCCUCUGGAUUGUAAACUUCUUUUAUCUGGGAAGAAAUGGUUGCUUUCUAGCGAUCUUGACGGUACCAGAUGAAUAAGCACCGGCUAACUCCGUGCCAGCAGCCGCGGUAAUACGGAGGGUGCAAGCGUUAUCCGGAUUCACUGGGUUUAAAGGGUGCGUAGGCGGAAUGGAAAGUCCGUUGUGAAAUCUCCGAGCUUAACUCGGAAAUUGCGGUGGAUACUAUCAUUCUUGAAUACUGUUGAGGUUAGCGGAAUAUGUCAUGUAGCGGUGAAAUGCAUAGAUAUGACAUAGAACACCAAUUGCGAAGGCAGCUGGCUAAACAGAUAUUGACGCUGAGGCACGAAAGCGUGGGGAUCAAACAGGAUUAGAUACCCUGGUAGUCCACGCCCUAAACGAUGAUUACUCGACAUUUGCGAUACACAGC